UGGGGAAUAUUGCACAAUGGGCGCAAGCCUGAUGCAGCCAUGCCGCGUGUAUGAAGAAGGCCUUCGGGUUGUAAAGUACUUUCAGCGGGGAGGAAGGCGAUAAGGUUAAUAACCUUGUCGAUUGACGUUACCCGCAGAAGAAGCACCGGCUAACUCCGUGCCAGCAGCCGCGGUAAUACGGAGGGUGCAAGCGUUAAUCGGAAUUACUGGGCGUAAAGCGCACGCAGGCGGUCUGUCAAGUCGGAUGUGAAAUCCCCGGGCUCAACCUGGGAACUGCAUUCGAAACUGGCAGGCUAGAGUCUUGUAGAGGGGGGUAGAAUUCCAGGUGUAGCGGUGAAAUGCGUUGAGAUCUGGAGGAAUACCGGUGGCGAAGGCGGCCCCCUGGACAAAGACUGACGCUCAGGUGCGAAAGCGUGGGGAGCAAACA
rnacentral:rRNA from 1 species